UCGCACCGAGCUGGGCCUGCAGCGCAAGCACCCUCGCGGCGGUCGUCGAGGCCGUGGCGCCGGUCCAGGGACACCGACGGUGCGCGUGCUCCCAAACUGAUGACGUUGCCAUCGGUGGAGGCGCUCGGCGAGCGGGAGUCUAUGGCAGUUGCGGCGGCGGCGGCGUAGCGGCAUCGGCCUCGGAGCUCAUGGACAUUAGCGGCCAGAAGACCACACGGACGGAGCUGGAGCUUCAUCUUGCUGAACGCGCGGCGCCAGGACACGGCUGCAACUGUGCCCAUUGGCCUCAACACCCACGGAUCUGAGCUUUUUUUGCGUGGAUUUUGCCUCCCUACUCCAGGAUCUGGCCAGAGAAAAGAGAUUGAGAUUUUUUUGGCUGUGAGGAGAGGAAGAGGAUGGGAGGGGAAAAUGACACGCGGGGUAGCCGCUUGGCACCACCGCCGGCCGCCGCCGCCACGGCCACCAGCGGCAGCGGCCGCGCUGGCAUGGAUUGAGGCGGAGAGGUUCGACGGGCAGGGGUCACCCCUGG
rnacentral:lncRNA from 1 species